rfam:Chaetura pelagica isolate M959 contig35657, whole genome shotgun sequence.
CUGUGGCUAUUCCCCUUCCUAGGCAUGGAAAAGCAGCUCCUUGCUAAUUGGCAAAACUUUUACCCUCGCGUGGGUAUCAGUCGUUGACUGUGGCAAGAAACAGGC